AUGAAACAUGAUUCCAUUGUGUCUUCAAGGUUCUUGCAUAAGCUUUGGCAGAACAAGGUUGCAAGAGAUCAAAGAUUUACCGGUAGAAGAAUGUAUGGUGCGUCUUCGACAACAACGAACAAAGAUAGAACACUGAAUAAUUCUCACUCCAGGAUUUGGAUAGAGAAAGAUGAUGAUGGGAGCAAAGAACUGGUUUCAAAGAGAAAGAGCUUGAGUUUUUGGUGUUCUUUCUCCAAUGAUUUGAGAACCGAUGAAGAUGAUGCAGUUGCAGGGAGGCUGCUUAUGAAGAUAGUGAUGGUAACCAAUCACAAAAAGGUUGAAGAUGCAGAAAAAUUAUGGAGAUCAAGAAGAGAGAAGAGGUAG